ACAAGCCUUUUUAAAAUUUAUUUAUUUAUUUAUUUAUUUAUUUAUUUAUUUAUUUGAGACAAGGUUUUGCUAUGUAAACCAGGCUGGCCUCAAAUUUGCCAUAAUACGCCUGUCUCUACUUCCCAAGUUGUGAUCUACAGGCGUGUGGUACCACACCUGGGCAGAAAGGCUUCUGUGACCUCACAUGAUGUCAGCAAGCAAGCAAUGGGUUCUAUGGCAACAUAUACUUGCUGGGGAUCCUCUAAUUCAAUUUAGUCCUGCCCUUGUCCUGCCUGGAUGGGCUGUCGGAUCCCAGCGGUGAAGGGCUUAGUCCACAGGGCUGUCUGUGCCUCUGCCCCACUGUGUAUGCUAGCUGCAAACUCCAUGUGGUUGGUUGGUUUGUUUAAAAGCCUUGUAUCACAUUGUUGUAAAAAGUUUCAGUUACUCACCCUCCUUGGGUCUAAUUAUUUUAUCUGAGAGGCUCUCGGAACUCAGGAGGACACAAACAGCAAUUUAUUGUACAGGAUAUUACAACAGGUGCUGAUGAAGAGAUGCACUGGGAGAGGAAUGUGGGAAGGGAAGAGCUGCCACGCCCUCUGGUCAUGCACUCUGUGAGAACUUCCUUUGGCACUGCUGUUUGGAAGUUCUGAAUUCUCUUUUAAUAGAAGCCUCAUUGAUAGGCACACUGGAUUAAUUUUGAGAACUAAUGGUCACCUCCACCUCGGAGCUUCUCUUCCCUGGAGGUUGUGAGGUAGGACUGAAUCUUACCUGUCUAGUCAUGCCUCUGUGUUCUUAGUGACCAUCUCCUACCCUGAAGCCAGCUGCCUCUUGAAUCAUUAGCUAAAUAAAUAAAUAAAUAAAUAAAUAAAUAAUUUUGGAAUUAAGGGAUUUAGGAGAGUAAUAUCAGGAAACUACACAGCUAUCAUUUAUUGCACGUUAAUUUCUUUCAUUUCAGACUUUCAGAACAAUAUUCCAUAAUACACUUCCCAAUUUACAUUCUCUUUAGUAAGGGGCUUGUCUAGAUUUGUCAUUUGCUAAGAGUAACAAGUCUCCUUUACACUUAGUUUUAGAUUUAAGCUGAGGGGGGACUGGAUACACCAUGUAAAAACACAGUACCACUUCUUUUAUUUUUGUCCAGUUGGGUGUUGAAUUUCAGAAAUGAGCAUCAUGGAAGGGUAACCUUGCAUUGUCUUGUGUCUACUGUGUGUUGAAUCUGCUGAGCUAAACACCAGGUUUCUUAUCUACGCUGUAGUGUGUGUCAGGUUGAGAAGGUGUGUUUUCAAUUCUGGAAACCGCUUGCACUUUUGGAGAAACUGGCUUAACCAGUUAAUAGAGAAUGACCCAUUGCUAGCUAGCAGUUUUGCUAGCUGAGGCUAGGAUAUUUUCUGUCCGGUGACUCGCUUGGCUUCUGCUAAUAGUGACAGAAACACACACAUGGGCUAACAGUAGAGCCGCUCUUCUCCAAGGCUGCCUGCCCUUAGUCUUCCUGAAUGGGGGGGGGGACCCCAGAAAGGGUCUGCAUGGGGGUUCGUGUUGACUUUUUCCUCUCACCAUUUGUCCCCCUAGGCUUUUUGAUCCUGGAGUGUCCUGAAAUGAUGAUGCACGUUCACUGUCUCUCCUGGUCUGGUCUCACCUCAGUCACUGAGCCUUUCCAUUGCUGGAAAGUUGGGGCUUUUCUAAGAGCUUUCUCAGCCUCUCACAUCACUACACAGGUUUCCUAUUAAGCUUUGUUGUGGCUCAUCUUACUUUAAACUGUUCACUCUGUAACCACAUCUGAGGAAUUUCUGAGUUUUCCAUCUGUUAUUUUCAUAAAUGUCUAAGGACGAGUAUUACUCCUUUUCUGUUUGCUCUUCUCAAAACCACUUUGAUUUUAGACAAGUUAAUAGUUUCACACAAGUUUCUACUUUCAGAGAAGCAAAGAAAUGCAAGCACUCCUGUUAGCAGUCCCCACUGCAUAGGGAGAGACUUGGUGUAGCAUUUGUAUUUCAGGGUGUGCGAGAUGUUUGUGGUGAAUAUUGUUGUCAGAGUCGUUGAAGUAGGUUAGCACUUGUUGCUGUUGUAAGUGUUGGUAGUAUAGGGCUUUCCCAACAUGGUGGUGGGUAACAUUUGACUAUAAAAUGCCCUCAUGGGUUCUUGAAUUUGGACACUUAUUCCCAUUUUGGAAGGGUAUGGAACCUUUAGGAGAUGAGGCUGGGCUGGCGGAAAUGUGGGACCGUACAGUUCUAUCCCAUGUGGAUUCUAGCUGAGCUCAUUGUGAACAACAUAAAUGGCUGUGCCAUGCUCCUGUUGCCCCAGCCCUGGCUGCCCUGGCUACUGUGCCCUUACCUGCUGUGAUGGACUUGUGUCCUCUCAAAUGGAACCAAAAUAAACCUUCCUUCCCAUAAGUUAUAUCUUUUAGUUACUGUAUCACA
rnacentral:lncRNA from 1 species